UUGCUUUCACUUUACUGCAUGGGCUCGCCCCAAAUUCUUUCUUGCACAAGAUCCAUAAACCCUCUGUUGCAGUCUGGAUCUGGACGCCUUUCUGGUAACAAUAGCAAGGCUCCACCUCUACAAAAAAAAAUUAAAACUAGCAAGGUGGUGGCACACAUGUAGUCCCAGCUACCCCAGAGGCUCACGUGGGAGGAUGGCUUGAGCCUAGGAGUUCCAGGUUACAGCAAGCUAUAUGCACACAAGUGCACUCCAGCCUGAAUGACAGAGCAAGACACUGUCUAAAGAAAAAAAAAAAAUUGAAAACUACUGAUAAAGUAUAUAACCCUAGGGCAAGCAAGGAUCCUAAAGUUCUCCCAAAUGAGGAACCAAGACACCCACUGUUUUCAUCUGUAGGAGUGCAUCCUUAUACGUCCCUGGGAAGACAGGAUGGAGACUCAGUGGUCUCAAACUUGAAGGACAACUGCAUCUCAGCACCAUCAACAUCUGCGAAUUUUACCACUGCCAACAUCUGCAACAGACCCUCCUUCAAAGUGCUGAGAAGACUUGAAAAGCAGAAGCUUUAAGUUAAGGUAAAAUUCCAAAUUAUUUGUCAAAAACUCCCUCUCAGGCUGCAUAAAUGCCAUAGCUUCUUGCAUAACAAAGCAUCAUUUCUUGCUUCUCUCUGUGUUCCAAUUAGUGAUUCCAAAGCUACUCAUAAAUUAGCAUAGUUUUCCAAAUGUUGCACAUGACAGCCGAGAAAAAUUCUACAAUAUUAAACAACUCAUAUUACUCUAAAUUU
rnacentral:lncRNA from 1 species